GCCAAAUUGUAUAAAAGAGCGUUGGAAUUCAAGGAUGUGUCGAUGUUCAGCGAACAACUAAUUCAACAUGAAGAUCGCUUUGCUAUUGCUGUUUGUAGCGGUUGUUUGUGUGAUCAACUCCCAAGCUAAAGGUCGUGAAAAUGAGAAAGCCAGAGGGAUGGGGAUUUUCAAGAAAAUGGGAGCAAUGGAAAAAGUAAA